rnacentral:rRNA from 1 species
UCCGUAGGUGGACAAAUAAGUCAGAGGUGAAAUCCUGCAGCUCAACUGUAGAACUGCCUUUGAUACUGUUUGUCUUGAGUUAUUAUGAAGUGGUUAGAAUGUGUAGCGUAGCGGUGAAAUGCAUAGAUAUUACACAGAAUACCGAUUGCGAAGGCAGAUCACUAAUAAUCAACUGACACUGAUGGACGAAAGCGUGGGUAGCGAACAGGAUUAGAUACCCUGGUAGUCCACGCCGUAAACGAUGGUCACUAGCUGUUUGGACUUCGGUCUGAGUGGCUAAGCGAAAGUGAUAAGUGACCCACCUGGGGAGUACGUUCGCAAGAAUGAAACUCAAAGGAAUUGACGGGGGCCCGCACAAGCGGUGGAGCAUGUGGUUUAAUUCGAUGA